rnacentral:rRNA from 1 species
GACGAACGCUGGCGGCGUGCUUAACACAUGCAAGUCGAACGGAAAGGCCCUGCUUUUGUGGGGUGCUCGAGUGGCGAACGGGUGAGUAACACGUGAGUAACCUGCCCUUGACUUUGGGAUAACUUCAGGAAACUGGGGCUAAUACCGGAUAGGAGCUCCUGCUGCAUGGUGGGGGAUGGAAAGUUUCGGCGGUUGGGGAUGGACUCGCGGCUUAUCAGCUUGUUGGUGGGGUAGUGGCUUACCAAGGCUUUGACGGGUAGCCGGCCUGAGAGGGGGACCGGCCACAUUAGGCCUGAGAUACGGAGCAGACUCCUACGGGAGGCAGCAGUGGGGAAUCUUGCGCAGUGGGCGGAAGCGUGAUACAGCAACGCCCCGUGCGGGAUAACGGCCUUCGGGUUGUAAACCGCUUUCGCCUGUGACGAAGCGUGAGUGACGGUAAUGGGUAAAGAAGCACCGGCUAACUACGUG